UACGAAGGGGGCUAGCGUUGUUCGGAAUUACUGGGCGUAAAGCGCGCGCAGGCGGCUAUCCAGGUCAGUGGUGAAAGCCCGGAGCUCAACUCCAGAACUGCCUUUGAUACUGGAGAGCUUGAGUCCGGGAGAGGUGAGUGGAACUGCGAGUGUAGAGGUGAAAUUCGUAGAUAUUCGCAAGAACACCAGUGGCGAAGGCGGCUCACUGGCCCGGUACUGACGCUGAGGUGCGAAAGCGUGGGAGCAACAGG
rnacentral:rRNA from 1 species